rnacentral:rRNA from 1 species
ACCUUCGGGGGAUUUGUUGGGCGGCGAGCGGCGGACGGGUGAGUAAUGCCUAGGAAAUUGCCCUGAUGUGGGGGAUAACCAUUGGAAACGAUGGCUAAUACCGCAUGAUGCCUACGGGCCAAAGAGGGGGACCUUCGGGCCUCUCGCGUCAGGAUAUGCCUAGGUGGGAUUAGCUAGUUGGUGAGGUAAGGGCUCACCAAGGCGACGAUCCCUAGCUGGUCUGAGAGGAUGAUCAGCCACACUGGAACUGAGACACGGUCCAGACUCCUACGGGAGGCAGCAGUGGGGAAUAUUGCACAAUGGGCGCAAGCCUGAUGCAGCCAUGCCGCGUGUAUGAAGAAGGCCUUCGGGUUGUAAAGUACUUUCAGUCGUGAGGAAGGUUCAUGCGUUAAUAGCGUAUGGAUUUGACGUUAGCGACAGAAGAAGCACCGGCUAACUCCGUGCCAGCAGCCGCGGUAAUACGGAGGGUGCGAGCGUUAAUCGGAAUUACUGGGCGUAA